AGGAGCAACAGCCCCAGUGGCGGGGCCAGCUCUGGACACCUGGAUUCAGCUCCGGCAGGAACUCCGGAGCUCUCCGUCUGCAGGGCCUGGAGGCUCCGGGGCGGG
rnacentral:pre_miRNA from 1 species